UACGGAGGAUGCAAGCGUUAUCCGGAAUGAUUGGGCGUAAAGCGUCCGCAGGUGGCGAUGUAAGUCUGCUGUUAAAGAGUGAGGCUCAACCUCAUAAGAGCAGUGGAAACUACAUAGCUAGAGUGCGGUAGGGGCAGAGGGAAUUCCUGGUGUAGCGGUGAAAUGCGUAGAGAUCAGGAAGAACACCGGUGGCGAAAGCGGCCUGCUGGGCAGUAGCUGACGCUGAGGCGCGACAGCGUGGGGAGCAAACAGG
rnacentral:rRNA from 1 species